rnacentral:rRNA from 1 species
UGGGGAAUUGUUCACAAUGGGCGCAAGCCUGAUGACGCAACGCCGCGUGGGGGAUGAAGGUCUUCGGAUCGUAAACCCCUGUCGAACGGGACGAAAGACCCGGGAGCUAAUCAUCCCGGGAGUGACGGUACCGUUAAAGGAAGCCACGGCUAACUCUGUGCCAGCAGCCGCGGUAAUACAGAGGUGGCAAGCGUUGUUCGGAAUUACUGGGCGUAAAGGGCGCGUAGGCGGCCUACUAAGUCAGACGUGAAAUCCCCCGGCUUAACCUGGGAACUGCGUCUGAUACUGGAAGGCUUGAGUAUGGGAGAGGGAUGUAGAAUUCCAGGUGUAGCGGUGAAAUGCGUAGAUAUCUGGAGGAAUACCGGUGGCGAAGGCGGCAUCCUGGACCAUUACUGACGCUGAGGCGCGAAAGCUAGGGGAGCAAACGGGAUUAGAUACCCCGGUAGUCCUAGCCCUAAACGAUGAAUGCUUGGUGUGGCGGGUAUCGAUCCCUGCCGUGCCGAAGCUAACG